rnacentral:tRNA from 1 species
AAAAAAUUAGUUUAAAAAAAACAUUUAGUUGCAAACUAAAAAAUAUAUUUUUAUUUUUUU